GGGGAAUAUUGCACAAUGGGCGAAAGCCUGAUGCAGCAACGCCGCGUGAGUGAUGAAGGCCUUCGGGUCGUAAAGCUCUUUGAUCAGGGAUGAUAAUGACAGUACCUGAAAAACAAGCCACGGCUAACUACGUGCCAGCAGCCGCGGUAAUACGUAGGUGGCGAGCGUUGUCCGGAAUUACUGGGCGUAAAGGAUGCGUAGGUGGAUACUUAAGUGGGAUGUGAAAUCCCCGGGCUCAACCCGGGAACUGCAUUCCAAACUGGGUAUCCAGAGUGCAGGAGAGGAAAGCGGAAUUCCUAGUGUAGCGGUGAAAUGCGUAGAUAUUAGGAGGAACACCAGUGGCGAAGGCGGCUUUCUGGACUGUAACUGACACUGAGGCAUGAAAGCGUGGGUAGCAAAC
rnacentral:rRNA from 1 species